GAUGAACGCUGGCGGCGUGCCUAAUACAUGCAAGUCGAGCGAACAGACGAGGAGCUUGCUCCUCUGACGUUAGCGGCGGACGGGUGAGUAACACGUGGAUAACCUACCUAUAAGACUGGGAUAACUUCGGGAAACCGGAGCUAAUACCGGAUAAUAUAUUGAACCGCAUGGUUCAAUAGUGAAAGACGGUUUUGCUGUCACUUAUAGAUGGAUCCGUGCCGCAUUGACGAGUUGGUAAGGUAACGGCUUACCAAGGCGACGAUGCGUAGCCGACCUGAGAGGGUGAUCGGCCACACUGGAACUGAGACACGGUCCAGACUCCUACGGGAGGCAGCAGUAGGGAAUCUUCCGCAAUGGGCGAAAGCCUGACGGAGCAACGCCGCGUGGGUGAUGAAGGUCUUCGGAUCGUAAAACUCUGUUAUUAGGGAAGAACAAAUGUGUAAGUAACUAUGCACGUCUUGACGGUACCUAAUCAGAAAGCCACGGCUAACUACGUG
rnacentral:rRNA from 1 species